GAAAACAACAGAGCAAUCAGCAGUGAUUAGUAGAGUUUAACAGCUGGGGGUGGUUAAGGAGAGAAGCAGUCAAAGAGAGCCCUGCCCAAACCACUGUCCUCUCAGGGAGAACGUGGGCAUACCUAAGGCUUUGCACCCUGAAGUGCAACAUCAGUGGCUUCACGUUUCUGGGGGAAAGAAAUAUACUUCAUUAAAAUAACUUAACCAGUCACUAAACAAAUUAAAAAGCAAAUAACAAUAAGAAGCCCAGGAGAGGACGGACCAGUAUCCAGAGGUUGCUAUAAUAUACUUAUCUAGAAUGUCGAUGUUCCAACAAAAAUUACAAGACAUGUAAAGAAACAAGAAUGUACGAGACAUAUACUGGAAACAAGAAAAAUCAGGAAACAGAUACUGCCUGCAAGAGCAACCAGAUGUCAGAUAUAACAGAAAAAGAUUUCAACGUGGCCAUUAUAAAUAUAUUCAAAGAACGAAGGAAUAAUGAUUAAGAAAGUAAUGGAAAGUAUGACAACAAAGUCUCAUCAAACUGAGAGCGUUAAUAAACAAAAGAGAACCAAAUAGAAAUUCUUCAGUUGAAGAGUACAAUAACUGAAAUUAAAAAAAAAAUCACUAGAAACCUCAAUGGUAGGUUUAAUCGGCAGAAGAAAGAAUUCGUGAUUUUGAAGAUAGACCAACAGAGAUUGUACAAUCUGAACAACAAAGAUAGAAAAGAACGAAGAAAAAUGAAAAACCCUCAGAGAAAUGCAGGGCAUCAUUAAUCACACCAACACAUAUUUUAUUGGUUAGUUUAAUGAGUUAACUUGGCUAGGCAUUAGUACCAAAUUACUAGUUCAAGCGGUAAUCUACAUGUUGCUAUGAGGGUGUUUUGUAAAUGUAGUUAACAUCUACAACCAGUUGUCCUUAAGUAAAGGAGAUUACUCUUAAUAAUGUGGGUAGGUAUAAUCCAAUCAGUUAAUAGGCCUUAAGAGCAAAAUCCUAGGUUUCCUUAAAAGAACUUCUGCUUCAAAACAGCAAAACCACCUCCUUUCUGAGAGUUUGCAGGAGAUGAUGGAAGCACAGCUGCAUUGGGCUAAGGAAAUUACUCCAAAUGGUAAAUCAAAUCCGCAGGAAGAAAUGAAGUGAUUAAGAAAUGAUGAAAAAGAAAGUUAAAAUAACAAAAGCUAUAAAUUCUUUAGUUGCUUUCUUUGUGCAAAGGUGUCAGCCUGUCUCUAACCUCAAGGACAGAGCCUGAUGAAGCCACUACAGUUGUUGCCACAUGGUCUUGCUGUUGAACACAUCC
rnacentral:lncRNA from 1 species